GGGGAGCGUCUGCACAACGGAGGCAAACACAAAGGACAGAAUAAUGUUUCAGAAGAAAGACAUUUCCAUACAGCCUCUGAAAAUAUUUACACUGUGCUGUGAAGUUAUGAAGACUCUCUGCUCGUUGAGAAUUCCAGUGCAAUGCUGCUGUUUGCGGUGAUGAACGUUUCCAUCUCAAGUUUGCAAUCUUCGUGUCUACAAGAACCAGAAACUGAAUUAGAACACUUACUUGUUGCUGCCAGGGAUUUCACUGACUCUAAGAGAUGUGGACUAGAAAACUUCACCAGACAUCUGAACGGCUCUUUUUGAUACAAAACAUCCUGUUUAGGAUUACUUUUAAACAUCGUCAGAAGCUGUUAAAACAAAAUUUAACCAUGGAGUAUA